rnacentral:rRNA from 1 species
UACGUAGGGGGCGAGCGUUGUCCGGAAUCAUUGGGCGUAAAGGGCGCGUAGGCGGUCGUGACAAGUCACUUGUGAAAUCUCCGGGCUUAACUCGGAACGGUCAAGUGAUACUGUCGGACUAGAGUACAGAAGGGGCAACUGGAAUUCUCGGUGUAGCGGUGAAAUGGCGUAGAUAUCGAGAGGAACACCUGCGGCGAAGGCGGGUUGCUGGGCUGAUACUGACGCUGAGGCGCGGAAAGCCAGGGGAGCGAACGGG